rnacentral:rRNA from 1 species
UCCCUCUUUUUCUCUCUUUCCUCUUCCUUCCUUUUCUUCCCUUUCUCUUCUUUUUCUGCGUGUGUUGGAUGGGAAAGCCCCGGGCUCAACCUGGGAAUUGCAUACAAAACUGCGCAUCUAGAGUAGAGCAGAGGUGAGUGGAAUUUCCGGAGUAGCGGUGAAAUGCGUAGAUACCUGAAGGAACACCAGUGGCGAAGGCGACUAACUGGGCUCACACUGACACUGAGGCGCGAAAGCGUGGGGAGCAAACAGG